ensembl:snRNA U1 U1 spliceosomal RNA
AUACUUACCUGGUAGGGGAGACACCAUGAUCACGCAGGUGGUUUUCCUGGGGCAUGGCUCAUCCAUUGCACUGCAGAUGUGCUGACCCCUGCGAUCUUCCCAAAUGUGAGAAACUCAACAACAUAAUUUGUGGUAGUGGGGGACUACGUUCACACUCUCCUCUA